rnacentral:rRNA from 1 species
AAAUGAAUUGACGGGGGCCCGCACAAGCGGUGGAGUAUGUGGUUUAAUUCGACGCAACGCGAAGAACCUUACCUAGGUUAAAUCCACUAGAACCCAGCAGAAACGUUGGGGUGCUCUUCGGAGAGCUAGUGAGAAGGUGCUGCAUGGCUGUCGUCAGCUCGUGUCGUGAGAUGUUGGGUUAAGUCCCGCAACGAGCGCAACCCUUGUUUUUAGUUGCAACCGGUUAAAUCCGGGCACUCUAGAGAUACUGCCGGCGUUAAGUCGGAGGAAGGUGGGGACGACGUCAAGUCAUCAUGGCCCUUAUGCCUAGGGCUACACACGUACUACAAUGGUCGGUACAAAGGGUUGCAAGCUCGCGAGAGUAAGCUAAUCUCAAAAAACCGACCUCAGUUCAGAUUGCAGUCUGCAACUCGACUGCAUGAAGUUGGAAUCGCUAGUAAUCGCGGAUCAGAAUGCCGCGGUGAAUACGUUCCCGGGCCUUGUACACACCGCCCGU